UGCGGCUAUAUCACAUCGAGACACCAGUCCUCAUGCGAUCAUCGAAGUUAAGCAACGUCGAGUCUGGUCAGUACCUAGAUGGGUGACCGCACGGGAAUUG